AUGGCCUUGGCCCCACUCCUGCUCGUAUUGCUCAUGUGCUGCUCAGGUUGUCUUGCUCAGACCGCACUGACUCAGCCGCCUUCGGUGUCUGUCUCUCCCGGACAAACUGCUACGCUCACCUGCACGGGGAGUAGCAUUGGUAGGUACGGAGCGAAUUGGUACCAACAGAAACCUGGGAGUGCCCCCCUGACCGCUAUGUACGGCAAUAAUAACAGACCCUCCGGUAUUUCGGAGCGGUUCUCUGGUUCCAAGUCCGGUAACACGGCCACACUGACCAUCACUGGAGUCCAAGCCCAGGACGAGGCUGAUUAUUACUGCAUCGCUUAUGAUAGUGGCAGUAGCUCUCUCUGUGGCGGUGGCACCAAGCUUCCCCACCUUGCUCUACCUUCCCACACAACAUCCUGCCUACUGGGCCGUGGAGACCUCAGGGGAGGGCAGAAGGAUGAGGAGGAGGAAAGGUAUGAGACAGAAGAGACAGGCAAGAAACAUGAGUGUGUCUGCAAGUACCUCUCAUAA